UUUUUUUUUUUUUUUUUGUUUUGUUUUGUUUUGUUUUGUUUUGUUUUUUUGAAGAAACGAAGAUUUAAAAAUGCAGUUCUGGUUUGAACAGUCCUUAUCUUCAGGCAGCAAAGUUGUGGACAAGCAAUGGGUGCUCUUUCAUGUGCACGCAGAAGAUAAUGUCACUUAUGAAUACAGAAGGCUUCUGGGCUCUGCAACAGCUAUUGGUGCAACGGAGGUGUCAUUCCUGAUGUGCAAGCUGACGUGGAUGGAACAGGAUGCCUGAAGAGGAGGUGGAGUCACCAUCCCUGGAGGUGUUCAAGAUCCAUGGAGAUGUGACACUCAGGAACGUGGUUUAAUGUGUGAUAUUGAUGGCUUAUGCAAGCACAUUUCACAUGCUUCAGGCAGCAAAAAGCUCAGAAAAGUCUGAAGUUGUUGGCGUGAAGUGUUGUGGACCAUUCCCAAAGCCACACUCAGCAUCAUGGACUUUCAGCUCUGCACCCAUCCCACUGCAGAAAUCUCUGCUGGCUCAGAGAAGCAGUUUGCAAUCCCUGUGCUCCAACAUCACUAAAUAGAGACCUUUUUACCGUUAGGUUUUCAUAUUCUGAAGAAGAUGAUCAGCGGCCAUACACACCAUUUAUUUCUGUAGCUCUGCAGAACCAACACGAGCCCAAGUCUUCAGUAUGGCUUCGAAAUGCAUACCUCAGUUUGGAGCCAUAGAUGUGACCUUAUUCUUCCCUUUAUCCCUUACACUUGACCUUGAUCCAGUCAGUCAUAUGUUGUUGUUUCUGAAGAGUGGCAAUGCAGAAAAUGCCAGAUCUCUGAUUUAUUUGUGGUUAAGAAAACGAUUCCUGCGCAAGCUGAAAGCUUCCCUCCUUUUAAUUGUAGCACCUGCCUAAACCCUUAACCUCUCCAAAAUCGCCCUCAGUGCUGGAGUUGUUACUGCAGCCCCAGUGCUCCUGGCAACUCCUUAUCCCUUGGCAGAGAAGGAGAAGACAGUGCUGUCUUAGCACAGCCACUGCCUGCAGCAGAGCCAGGACAGGGGAUGGAGUAGGGGCUGUUAAGAGAGGCUGUAACAGAUUGGAGAGCAAAUGUAAAAUGAAAUCCUCCAAAUUCAGUGGAGAGCAGCUUGCCCUUUCAUACUCUCAUUGAAGCCUUUUCUCCUUGACAAUUGGCUGAAAGGACCUCUGUUGUUUUUUACUUAACACAUCUGUGGAUUUAUUGCAAGCUGAUGCUUUCUGUUUUACUUCUACAUGACACAAGCAGAAGAUGGGGAGAAGAAUUCAACCCAGAUCUCUGACUCAACACUGCAUUCUAAGUGUGGUGAAGCCCCACAUGGUGCUGAUGUGAGAGAGUCCUGCUUGUCCUGGCCUGAUCUUGAAUGAUCCUGAUGUGCUCUGACUCUUUCCUGUAACAAAUACUUAGGGAGAAAGGAAAGAAUUUGAAUAAAUAAAAUGAAAAAAUUGAGAUCUACAAUACAGGACACCAUAGUAUUAGUGUGGGAAAGAUUUAAUGCAAAACUGACCAUGUUCCUCACGUAUGUGAGUCCACUUGUCAUGAGGUUACUCCUUGAUAUUUUACCCAGUGGAGAACGGAGAAUGGAGAAUGGAGAAUGGGAGAAUGGGAGAAUAGAGAAUGGGAAAGAACAAAUCUUUCCCAGGGAGGAGUAAAACUCAAACCUCAGCUUCUCAGACAGAAAGAAGGAGCAAGGAGGGAUGAUGCCAUGCGGAGAGAUAUUCUCCAUCAUUUAUUGCGCUCUGUUUCUUUCUUGGCCAGGGCAGCGUAGAUGGGAACAACCAAAGCACCCUGUCCCUCCUGUUCUCCCUCUGAUCUGCUGCUGAGCUGUGUUGUGCUAUCCACCACAGGGCGUCCAUAUCCUAACGCUCCCCUUGCCCUUUACCUUGUUUAGCCUUUUUUGCCAUCAUGAAAUAAUGUUCACAAUGGCAAGAACACAAAAUAGCUCAUAAUGUGCCUCAAACUGUGAGAAAAGCGCAUUCGAUCCUCCCCAAACACAGACCUGCUCACUUCAAAGGCGGCAAUAUUUAGAUAGUAAUCAACAUCGCGUUUUCUUCCCUUUCCUGGCCCAAUGUGUCUAUUUGCUCAGGCACUCUUUCCAUCCAUCCAGAAAACUCAAUGUGUCCAAAGCACACACGGGGCUGAGCAAUGAUCCCAGGCAAUGCCUGAACAGGGCAGCCCCAGGUAUGAUCCCAAUGACCUGGCUACUACAGUGCUGCCACCCUAUGGCAUGUGGUUUGCUCCUGGGUUGUUUUAUUCAUGGCUAAAACACUGAGUGAAGAAACAUCCUCUCCACCUUAGAAAUAGUGAAACAGGAGCAAAUAACAGUCUCGGAAUGUGAUCUAUAGCUCCCUGGAGGAAGAAGUUGUCCCUCAUGCCAUCCCCAUGUGUGGUACAUCUUCAAAUGAUGGACUGGGGAGAACCUAAUAUCUUCAGUUAUCAGAUACAGUGAUAAAUGAUUAAUAAAGAAUCAAACUGAAAACAA